GAUCAUGGCUCAGGAUGAACGCUAGCUACAGGCUUAACACAUGCAAGUCGAGGGGAAACGACAUCGAAAGCUUGCUUUGAUGGGCGUCGACCGGCGCACGGGUGAGUAACGCGUAUCCAACCUGCCCAUGUCCACGGGAUAGCCCGUCGAAAGGCGGAUUAAUACCGUAUGAGGUCACACGAUGGCAUCAGGCUGUGACGAAAGGUUUAGCGGACAUGGAUGGGGAUGCGUCCGAUUAGCUAGUUGGCGGGGUAACGGCCCACCAAGGCGACGAUCGGUAGGGGUUCUGAGAGGAAGGUCCCCCACAUUGGAACUGAGACACGGUCCAAACUCCUACGGGAGGCAGCAGUGAGGAAUAUUGGUCAAUGGGCGAGAGCCUGAACCAGCCAAGUAGCGUGCAGGACGACGGCCCUAUGGGUUGUAAACUGCUUUUAUAAGGGAAUAAAGUGGGUCACGUGUGACUUUUUGCAUGUACCUUAUGAAUAAGGACCGGCUAAUUCCGUG
rnacentral:rRNA from 1 species